rnacentral:rRNA from 1 species
CCUGAGAAACCCAAAAGAUCGAAAGGCGAGAUUCAUCGUCAGCGUAUUUCAUAUAUGUGCAAACUGGUGAUGCGAUGUAUAUUCUCUUUAUGGGAAUAUAAUUUUUGUACACUUUUGUAUCAUUUAAUUAAUGAAUAACNGUCGGCGUGCACCUUCUCGUCUAGUAGAACGUUGCGACCCGUUGGGUGUUGAUCUACGACCUAAUUGGUAGCCUUUAAUGUCAUCUUAUAGAUGUUACAUUGAAGACCAUUGGUGUUUUCCGAUUGACUGCCCGGCGGUAUGACAAUAUGAUAUUGAGUCGCUCUUGAAUGCGUCAAAUCUACGUUGCAAUUAUAAUAAGUGAUUAUUUAAGUAUUUUACGGACCUAGUGCCGUUGCUUAACACUGUUAAAUUUGUUGUAGAAUUAUUUGACUGGCUCAUUGAAUAUAAUAAAAUAUCAGUCAGCAAUGCUACUGCUUUGGGUACUUUCAGGACCCGUCUUGAAACACGGACCAAGGAGUCUAACAUGUACGCAAGUCAUUGGGUUAUAUUUUAAAAAUUGAAACCUAAAGGCGUAAUGAAAGUAAAAGUUGUCCUUGUGUCAACUAAGGGAGGAUGAGUUAUUUUACGAUAUAAUUCCGCACUCCCGGGGCGUCUCAUUCUUAUUACAAGAAGAGGCGCACCAAG